GUCUCCGGGUGCGCACGCUCCAAGUGGGAAAGGAGGCAGGGCCGAGCUCUGCCGGCUCCUGGUUCCCAUCGCGAGUUAGGGCGGGGCUGGGACGGCUCCGCUUGAUGGAUUCUGCUUCAGACAGAUGAGGAGAGAAGAGGGCCCCGGAUAACAUCCAGAGGAACCCCAGCACUUAAAAUGGGCAGGGAGUAGGGGGGUCCAGAAGAGAUCGGAGGAGUAUCCAGGAGGAGGGGAAAACCCAGGGAGAAGCGUGGUUUCAAGGACACCAAGCUGAACAAUGUCAGAGUUAACUGCUGCCAGGAAGCAGGUAAGAUGAGGAUAGAAAACUGUUUCUUGGACUUAGCAACAACUGGAAACUUUGGCAAGAACGAUGUCAAUGGGAGGAAGGAGACACGGUCGUUAAGUUGUCUUUUCUCGAAGUUUCCUUUAAAGAGAGGAAAGAGACAGAGUGACAGCUAGAGUCAGAAGAUGGGAGACACCGCCUAAAACGAAUUGGAAGACUUUUAUCUUUUUCUGUGCCAUGUUCGGUUUCUCAGACUGGUGACUAUUAGAAACAAGCAGACAAAAAAACCUGGUAGCUGUAAUCAGUGAAGUCCCGUUAGGGAUAUGUACACCGAUUUAUUUAGGAGGAAAUGAACUGAUGGCUGCAACUUAGUUUGAAAUGCACCAAAAAUAAAGUGGAGGGAAGUGUGGCUACAGAGAUAGGUUUGUGAUAAAGCCAACAGUGGUAAAAUGUUAAUGGCACAACCUAGGGGUGGAUCUACAGGUGGGCAUUGUAAGCUUUUUUUGACCUUGCUGUAUGUACUGGAUGUAAUGGUGACCCCUUGAAAUUCAUGUUCAUCCGAUGAACUUGUAACGUGACCUUAUUUGGAAAUAGGAUCUUUGCAAAUGUGAUCAAGAUAAGGUCAUGGUGGAUUCAUGUGGGCUCUAAAUCCAAUGACUAGUAUCUUUAUAAGAAGAGGAAAAUUUGGACACAGAGACAGACACACAGGGAAGAAGGCCGUGUGACAAUGGAGACAGAUUAGAGUAUUACAGCCGUAAGCCAAGGAACCCCUGGACUGGCCACAAGCUGGAAAAGGCAGGAAGGUUUCCUCCCUAGGGCUUUCAGAGGGAGCAUGGACCUGCCUGUACCUUGAUUUUGGACUUGGAACCUCCAGGACUGGGAGAGAAGUUUCUGUCGUCUUAAGUCUGCCAAUUUAUGGUGAUCUGUUACGGCAGCCCUAGGAAACUAAUACACUAUAUGUGUGACAUUUUUCAUAACAAAAAUUGAGAAGAAAGUUUGAUAAUGCCUAUUGUCAGCAAGGAUGUUAGGAGAUAGAGUCUCACCUACACAGUGGUAAGAGUGUCAGUUGGUAGAACCAAUUUGGUGGAUAAUUUGGCAGCAUCUAACAAGCUGAAAAAUGUAUAUGACCCUCAACCAAGCAAUUUUCCUCAUACGGGUCCAUUCAACAGAAAUACUCACCUGAGCCGGGAGACGCACAUGCAAAAAGGUCUGCUGAGGCACCAUUUGUGGUUGCAAUAAGCCGGGCGCUCAUGAUUGGACAGCGAGACACUAUGUCCAGACACCGCUGCCCUUCAAACACCCAGGCCAGCUCACUGAUUACCUCUGCUCGUCAGAGAAACUGCUUAAGAGAUUGUAGUCAUGGUCGUCACGAGCGUGGCUCCGACUAGGACAGUGGCAGUUGAGCCUAGAGAGAGGAGGUGGACUUGAUAGGACAUGGUUGAGGAAGACAGUGUCCGAAGGUGACUCUUGGGUCUCUCAGUUGAGGACUGAGAGACGGAGUCAACCAGGGACAGUUAAAUUUGGGGUGUUGUGGGGCCCCCAAGUGGCCAUGUUCAGGCCAGCUGAGGGGAGACGUUUGCACUGGAGCUUUACUUUAUCCCCAGAAGCCCCAGUGCCAUGAUUUGAUUUUAAUUUUUUUAAGGUUUAUUUAUUUUUGAGAGAGAGCUUGAGUGGGGGAGGAGCACAGAGAGGCGGAGGCACAGAAUCCGAAGCAGGCUCCAGGCUCUGAGCUGUCAGCACAGAGCCCGACGUGGGGCUCAAACUCACAAACCAUGAGAUCAUGACCUGAGCCGAAGUCGGACGCUCAACCGACUGAGCCACCCAGCGCCCCCAUCUGAUUUUUUGUUAAGCGGCUGAUCUGGCUGUGGUAAGCAGAGCAGACUAGAGGGGAUGAGAGCACUAGCAGAGACCAAGAGGAGGCUGUCACGUCUCUGGGACGGAGAGGAUGGGAGCUUGGCAAGAGUAAUGGAGGGGCAGAGAGAGAAGGCUAGACAGACCAGAGGCUGCUGCCUCAGCGUUGGUCUAGGACUGAUGUUUUGACCAGGUGUCAUGAUGCCAGCAUGGGGGCAGGGGUCCUGGGAGCAUUGGAACUGAGAAGUUGGAGCCAGAGCCAGAGCUGGGGCAGCCAGGGAGACGAGGGACCAGCACACAGCACGACCCUGGGACUCAGCUGCAUUCCCUCGUUUGGUCACUCACGGAAGUCCUGGAGAGCCUGCCUGGGCUGGCACCCAGUGGUGAAAGAAACGAGGUCGAGGUCCCUAAAUGGCAUCGCAGUGUGGUGAAGUCCUCCAGGCUCAGCACAGACCCAUCAAGGGCCAUAUUUUGGGAGGAAAGUUCUAGAAUGGUGCCACAGGAGCAGAAGGUAUCAAGGGAAAGGGAUGGAUGCCUUGGGGACCAGGAGAGUGGUGACACAGAGUGAUAAGAGGAACCACUGGCCAUGAGCAAACUGAAGAAUACAAAAAGAGCUGUUUAAAUAAAUUUUGAAGGCAAUGACUUUCUUGCAAAUGCGACGUUGCCAGCCAGCA